GCCGGGCGUGGUGGUGGGUGCCUGUAAUCCUAGCUACUCAGGAGGCUGAGGCAGAAGAAUUGCUUGAGUCCAGGAUGCGGAGGUUGCAGUAAGCAGAGACCAUGCCAUUGCACUCCAGCCUGGGCAACAGAGCAAGACUCUGUCUCCA
rnacentral:SRP_RNA from 1 species